AUUGAACGCUGGCGGCAUGCCUUACACAUGCAAGUCGAACGGCAGCACGGGUGCUUGCCCCUGGUGGCGAGUGGCGAACGGGUGAGUAAUACAUCGGAACAUGUCCUGUAGUGGGGGAUAGCCCGGCGAAAGCCGAAUUAAUACCGCAUACGAUCUACGGAUGAAAGCGGGGGACCUUCGGGCCUCGCGCUAUAGGGUUGGCCGAUGGCUGAUUAGCUAGUUGGUGGGGUAAAGGCCUACCAAGGCGACGAUCAGUAGCUGGUCUGAGAGGACGACCAGCCACACUGGGACUGAGACACGGCCCAGACUCCUACGGGAGGCAGCAGUGGGGAAUUUUGGACAAUGGGCGAAAGCCUGAUCCAGCAAUGCCGCGUGUGUGAAGAAGGCCUUCGGGUUGUAAAGCACUUUUGUCCGGAAAGAAAUCCUUGGCUCUAAUACAGUCGGGGGAUGACGGUACCGGAAGAAUAAGCACCGGCUAACUACGUG
rnacentral:rRNA from 1 species